GUUGAACGCUGGCGGCAUGCUUUACACAUGCAAGUCGAACGGUAACAGGCUGCAAGGUGCUGACGAGUGGCGGACGGGUGAGUAAUUCAUCGGAACGUGCCCAGUCGUGGGGGAUAACUACUCGACAGAGUAGCUAAUACCGCAUCCGAUCUAUGGAUGAAAGCGGGGGACCGUAAGGCCUCGCGCGAUUGGAGCGGCAGAUGUGCGAGUCGGUAGUUGGUGGGGUUAAGGCUCACCAAGCCCACGAUCUGUAGCUGGUCUGAGAGGACGACCAGCCACACUGGAGCUGAGACACGGCCCAGACUCCUAAGGGAGGCAGCAGUGGGGAAUGUUGGACAACGGGCGCAAGCCUGAUCCAGCAAUGGCGCGUGCAGGAAGAAGGCCUUCGGUUUGGAAACUGCUUUUGUACGGAACGAAACGGCUCUGGUUAAUACCCGGGGCUAAUGACGGUACCGUAAGAAUAAGCACCGGCUAACUACGUG
rnacentral:rRNA from 1 species